AGGUCUCCUAAGCUUGACUCCUCUUCGGCAUGAGACUAAGGAAGCUCCCCAAGUUCCAGUCAGAGGUCUGAAUUUGUGAAUUUGCUGAGGCUGAUAGGACAGUGUGGGCUGUCCCUGAAAGUUGGAGGAGGUGACAACAAGGUUGGGGGCCUUCCAUAUGGGUGCCUGCUGUACCACAUAUCCAGUAAAAACAGAACAUUUACGAAUGCAGGCUUAUGGAAGAGUCUUGCCCUAACAGAAAAACAGGGAUGAGGCUGGGAAGAGGAUAAAGUUAUAGCAGGAUAAAGUUAUAAGAAGAUAACAAAGCAGGAUGACAUCACAUGGGACCAAGAAGGGGGCUGCAUCAUCCCUGGACCUGCUCCUGGGGGCUGUCGGAUUGUGGGCGUGGCCGCUUUGGAUGCCCAGCUUCCUGAGCCCUACAGAGAUAACAACUAGCAGAGUGCACCAGCACGUACAUUGGAUUAUCCUUUUCAUUGUGUCUGAGCCAAUCUGCUUAAUGUUCAGAUACACGUGGGGAAAAAAAGGCAAAAUAUUUUUGUUUUAGAUCCUUUCAGAAGGCACAAAAAAAUAAAGUACAAACACGAAUCACUUGACAAUUUUAUGAUUAAAACCAACAAAUGGAAAACAGACAGUGUUGGGUGUUGCUGACAUAAUCAAGCAUUUCGUGCGGACCCACUCAACCACCCCAUUUCUUGGAUCUAUUUCUGGAUGUACCAAAUGUGUCUGAAGAUGAACUCACUUUCGCACAUCAAAGAUGUAUCCAGUGUUAAACACCGGAGCCAGAACCCAGGUGAAAAUCUGCUGGUUCAGGGCAACACCACUUCCGGCUUUAUUAAACACUCAAAAGUCAGGUUCCCAAGAAACGCUUGGAUCUAUGCGCAAGUAUAACAUGUCAAAACUGUUAAAUGUGACCAUGAGAAAAAUGACAUGAGCAUGUUUCAUCUUUGGGUAGAGGGUGGUGGUUUUCUGGGAAGACACUGUCUGAGACACCGAGUAGAGAAGUCAAAUGGAAGACGUUUAGCAUGUGCUUAAUUCUUGCUUGAUAAGAACAAGAAAUCCCGGAAAAGGUCACCCACAGAACGGUCUAAAAGGAGAUAGGGAAUCUCAUUAUUUGCACAUCAAUGGUGCCAUCAGUUGGAUGUGGAUAGAUUUUAAAAUCGAGGCUCAUCUUUUCGGCAAGAGCAAAUUGACAUAGAACAUCUUAACUCUCCACCUUCUGCAGGCGGCAGUGUGGCUAAUAUUGAGGCCCUUCAAAGUCACAACUCCAAAAGAGAGGAACAUACAGUGCUCCUGUGAUUUUGUGGGACAAACCCAGACCCGGACUGCUGGCGUGGCAUUUAAUAGGAUGCCCUCCCCUGAAAGUAACAAAGAGAACCCUCGUCAAAGCUAUCAAACACAUUAAAAAAAUACAAAAGUUAUUUUCUCCUUUUGAUUGCUAUUUACUUGUGACAAUAUUUGUUAAAAAUAUCACUUCUGUCUUUGAGAAGAGAUCAUUCUCUUCAUAUAGUAUGGAAAAAUAAACUCUGCUGAACACUCAGUCAACAUUCCCCACCACUGCCAGGGGCUUUUGGCUUUCACAUCUCCAAAUACCAUCAUCAGCAUAAAAGUAUUAUGUUUUUGAGUAGGCAAACACUUUUGCUAUGUCUAGUGUGCUGGAAGUAAGAGAAAAAGGAAGUGGCAAGGCUCAUGUAGCAUUUUGAAGGGGGAGAGUUACAAAAUAGGAUGGUUUAUUUGCUAACAAAAUGAAAGGUAACAAGGUGGUUUCAGGCCUUCCUAAAAAGUCAUAGGAUGUCCCCUCACCUCUUAGACCACUUUCAGCCUUGCUAAUGCUUGGUAGAUUCUUAAUGGAAGGGUAGGGAGCCCUAUAGGCUAAUUAUCAGUGUCAAUGCAAAGGAGGGCUCAACUUCUGCACCCAGGAUCAUCUUAAAACACUGAGCUGGAUGAAUGGGAGAAGACAAGGAUCCAUAAAAACAGUAAAAUGUUUAUUUUCUUAGAAAAAAAAGUGAGGAAGAGGGAUUCAAAAUGAUUGUGAUCACACUUCCAUCUGCAUCUGAGCAAAGCCAAUGUUGCAAGCUUAAUUCUUGAUUAAGAUACCUAUUAAAUCAAACAACCUGCCACUCACUCCUACGUCACUUCCAGGAGUCACAUCACAGCAUGCUUUUAAUUGAUAAUAGCUUCUCUACUUCUUCUGAGCAGAGAAACAAGGCUUGGCAUAGCAACCAUCCCAUCUCCAAAGCUCAACACUGCCAGUGAGAAGCAAGGCUCAGUCCAUCUCUAGACUGCGUGCGAGAGAUGGGGAGGAAGGAGAGAGGGCAGGAGAUGCUUGUCUUAGAAGCAGAACCAGUUUAGAAGAGAAGUUUGUUAUCUGAGUUCACCACUACCUCAUCUUAUAGAAAAUAGGUUGGAGAGCAUCUGUAAAACCAACAGUAUCUUUAAGGUGAAAUUGCAGAAUUUUGCUGCAUACCUGGACACAAGAGAAGUGAAAAGUUGCAACAAGUUUUAACUAGCAGCAACAAAGAAAGUUCGAUAACAGUUUUUUUUGUUUGUUUUUAGCAAUAUUCCUUUGCAAGUUCAUUAAGAAACACUGUAAUUUAAUGGGGCGUACAAUAUGGAACGAUCUUCUUUUGCUAUAGUGCUGUUCGCUGAAUAGAACCGACCUUUGCAAAGAUUUCAACUGGGGUGUAACCUAUUUACACAGUAGUAGCUCCUGGUUUGAGUGGUAAAAUUGGUGCUAUGUGAUAUCCUCUUCUUCCGAACAGUAAUCCCGACCCUUGGAGGGAAAAAGAAAAAAGAGCAUGUGAAUGAGAAAUUCAAAGCAGAGCCUGAAAUAGUUACUUGUAAUCAAUUUUCUCUCAAUAUAUGUCUCCUUGCAACAGAAUCCAGGCUUUGUCAGUGAUAGCUGGCACAGGGGUAGCUACGUCAUAAAUACAUGUUAGCCAAUUUAUAAGCUAUAUAUACUUCAAGGCAUGACAGUUUUACCAAGCCCCAAAUAAGCCCUUACUUUAUGUUGGUAAGAAUUUAUAUUAUAACAGCCAUAUUCAAGAGUCAGCCUUUCACUAAGAAAUUACCAAAUGGCCAAUCCAUUCAGGAGAUCAAUUUCUUAUCAGGAAGAAUGAACAAGCCACAUUCUACAGCUACAUCCCCGUGCCUGAAAAUCAACAUUCUACAGACAGCAUACAAUCCAGGGAUGUCUGAGUUUAAUUCACUCUAAAACGGAUUACAAAAAACAACAAACAAGAAUCCUUAAACACGCAUAACAGGUCUGUGCUUGGUAUGUGUGGGAUGCACAAGAAAGGCAAAGAUGCUUCUGAUUCAUUUGCUAACUAAAACAGGUUAUCUGAAGCUCUAAGGACUAUGUACAAUGGUUAUUUGUGAACAUAUUUUAUCCUCUCUCCUCUAGGUCAUAAACUCAAUGAAGACAUGAUUGGGGCUGGGCUUUAAGGAUCCACAUUUAACCGAGCUGGCUUGUCUUGGUCAAAACACAUGACUCUCUUGGUCUGUAACCCAUCACAGGGCACCUGCCCUGCCUGUGUCCGAUGUCAUAGAUAAGGGUUUUGUAAAAAGUCAGGUGUUAUUAUUAUUUGUUUCCUUCAACUUUUUCUUUUUCUUUUAAAAUACACACUACAUGUUUCAUUUUUCUUGGGGGGGGGGAAUGUUCUUUUAAAAGCAGAACUUAUUUCUAAAAGUACCAAUACUUAACGAUACUAAUAAUAAUUUUGCAUAUAACUAUUUCUCAGAUGUAUUACAUGUUUUUUGGUCACAUUAUCUAUAUAACAGAAAUAUUUUACAUUUUCCUAAUAUUUAAGCAUUAUCAAAAUGGAUUAUUUUGUGCCACGUGGCUGGGUGCUAAUCUUGACUCUGUGACUUCCUAGCUCUGGGAUCCUGGUAAAAUUACCUCUCUGUGUCUCAGUUUCUUCAUCUGUAAAAUGAAGAGAACAAUAGUACCUAUUUCACAGAAUAGUUGAAGAUUAAAUGAGUUAAUAGUAAUAAAGUGAUUAAAUCAUUUCUGGCACAUACUUUUACACAUGAUGUAUAUGUGCCCAUGCCCGUGUGUGUUUGGCAAAUUACAAAAUACUGCUGGCUGGACACGGUGGCUCACGCCUGUAAUCCCGCACUUUGGGAGGCCGAGGCAGGUGGAUCACCUGAGGUCAGGAAUUUGAGGCCAGCCUGACC
rnacentral:lncRNA from 1 species